AUUAGAUACCCGUCUAUUCAAGACAUAAAUUACAGUUGAAUAUUACGAACAACAGUUUAAAAUUCAAAGACUUUGGCGGUGUCUUAUAAAAUCAGGGGAACCUGUCUCAUAACUCGAUAGUCCACGCAUACUCAACCCCCUCUUGACACAUCAGCAUGUGUACUGCCGUUGAAAGCACACCUUUAAAAGAAUAGUGUGCUACUAUGACUACAAUUAAACUCAUAUACAUCAGGUCAAAGUGCAGCUAAUGGGGAGGUGAUGAUGGGUUACAACCCUAAAACAGACUAUCAACUAAGAAAUAAAAAAUCUUACGAAAGUGGACUUGACCGUAAUCUAUUUACAAGUUAAAAAAAUGAAUACUAUCUAAGACAUGUACACAUCGCCCGUCACUCUACCCUAAAGGGUAGAUAAGUCGUAAC
rnacentral:rRNA from 1 species